rnacentral:rRNA from 1 species
ACGCUCGACACCUACGGGAGGCAGCAGUGGGGAAUAUUGCACAAUGGGGGAAACCCUGAUGCAGCGACGCCGCGUGGAGGAAGAAGGUCUUCGGAUUGUAAACUCCUGUUGUUGGGGAAAAGAGGNUGGUACCCAACAAGGAAGUGACGGCUAACUACGUGCCGGCAGCCGCGGUAAUCUGAGCGGGCUGGCAAGGC